GCACAACACAACCUCAAAGCCUGAAAUUUUAGCCUUCUCUCUCUUUUUUUAGGGUUAAGAGUUCAAUCUCUAACAAUGGCGUCCUCGAAAGUCACUGAAGUUGCGAACCUGAAAACGAUAGAAGCAGCCUUGAAGCUUGUAGACACCAAAAAGGAAAGCCUUAAAAGAGCCUUUGAUGAUCUCCAAGCCCACUCAUCUCUUCUCUCCUCCUUCUCUCUGUCUUGGCCUGACCUCGAUUCUCACUUUACCUCCCUCCAAACCACCCUCACCCGUCGUUUUCGCGAUCUUCAAUCCCUCAAUUCUUCUUCUUCCUUGCUAAACAACCCUCCUCGCACUCAUGACCCAAUCGGUGCUCCCCAUGACCCUGCUGCUUCCGAUCAAUCGCUGACUGUUGUCGGUGGCCCAUUAUCUUCUUCUAACCCACAUGAUCAUGGUGCAGUGACUCGGUCCAAGGUGGAAUUGCCCGUCCCCGUGCAAGACCCUUCUUCAUCUAAUCCGACGAGUCAGUCCCAAACUCAGACUCAGGGAGUCCCUGUGCAAGACCCAUCGAGUCUAAACCAGGCUACUUGGCCGGAAUUGGGUCCUCUGUGCGAGAAGAUGGAUGGGCCAGGAUUGAGGGAUUAUAUAAGCGACCAUGCCAAAGAGCGGGAAGCUAUCCGGACAGAGCUUGUAGGCUUAAUGGGGGAUGCUUCAGACCCCGGAGCAAUGGUUUUGGAUGCAAUGGAGGGGUUUUAUUCAUCGAAUUCGACGUCUAAAGGUGACAAGGACAUGGAUUUAUAUCGUUUACGGAAGAGCUGUUUGGACUUAUUGGAGGUAUUGACAGAGAUUAAACCAAAUUUAAGCGAUGAAGUGAAGGAGAGAGCUAAAAAGUUGGCUUUUGGGUGGAAAGAGAAAGUGAAUUUGAAUGGGGAUAGCCCUCUAGAGGCACUCGGUUUCCUGAAUUUGAUUGUUGCGUAUGGAUUAGAGAAUGAAUUUGAUGUGGGUGAGCUUUUGAAUUACUUUGUAGUCGUUGCCAGGUUUAAGCAUGCUACAGUUUUGUGUCGUUCUAUAGGCCUGGGCGACAAAACUACAGAUCUUGUUCAAAAACUCAUUGACAAUGGCAAGCAACUUUUAGCUGUCAAAUUUAUUUUCGAAUUUGGGCUGACUGACAAGUUCAAACCAGUUCCUCUCCUGGAAGAUCACCUGCAGGAGUGCAAGGAAUUUACUAACAAAAUUUGCAAGGAUGGAAAGAACUCCAUUAAGGCACAGAAUGAGGCCAGAGCCAGAGAAGUUAAUGCUUUAAAAUCAGUUCUCAAAGUAAUUGAUGAACACAAACUCAAAUCUGAGUACCCAAGGCUGGACCUUGAGAAGCGGAUUGAGAUGCUAGAGAAGCAGAAGGCAGACAAGAAAGUGGAUGCACAAUCUCCUGAUAAUAGGCCUCAGCAGCAGCCAAAGAAACAGCUGCAACAGCAGCAGUCAAAGAAGCAACAGACAAAGCAGCAAACAAAGAAGCAGCAGCUGAAUGGAAACAAGCGUCCUCGAAUGACUGCACUGAGUGGUCCUGCAGCAGUCUCAAUCAGUAUUGCUGGUUCCAGUUCAACUGUUCCUCCAUUUCAACAAUCUCAUUUACCACCAGCAGGCUUGUUGCCAGCAGCUGGACCUUAUGGGUUGGUGGGUUCCACUCCUUCCAUUGCUUCUUAUGCAGGUUCAUCAGCUGGCCCCUAUGGCUUGGCAGGAGCUGCUAUUGGCUUCUCUGGUAACCCAAGUCCAGCUGGGGCCCAUCCAUACUCUUCAGAUCCAUAUAUGCCACCUGGUUUUUAUGACAGGCCAUCUGCUUACGGUGGAUAUGGUUUGCAGCCUCAAUAUCCAACUUACUACCCCCAGUAGUUUUUGGGUACUUUCAGUGAUAGUAUAACUUUGGAUGGUAUAGUAGUGUUGCCAACUUUGCAUUAGUGGUUAUCAGAAAGCAAGCUAUGCUUUUUGAUCAGCAUGGAUGUAGUAUGGCAACUUAAUUUGGUUAGUUGGUUUGCGGGUGUUGGCACACUUUGAAGUGUUUGAACAAUAUGUUGCAUGUGUAUG
rnacentral:misc_RNA from 1 species